rnacentral:rRNA from 1 species
CCCUUAGACGUUCUGGGCCGCACGCGCGCUACACUGACGAAGGCAACGAGCUUUCCUUUACCGAAAGGUACGGGUAAUCUUUUGAAACUUCGUCGUGCUGGGGAUAGAUCCUUGCAAUUUUUGAUCUUAAACGAGGAAUGCCUAGUAAGCGCAAGUCAUCAACUUGCGUUGAUUACGUCCCUGCCCUUUGUACACACCGCCCGUCGCUACUACCGAUUGAAUGAUUUAGUGAGGACUUCGGACUGGGACCGAUGCGGCUUUCGGGCUGCGUCGGUAUUCUGGAAAGAUGUCCAAACUGUAUCAUUUAGAGGAAGUAAAAGUCGUAACA